rnacentral:rRNA from 1 species
ACUGCGGGAAACUGUAGCUAAUACCGGAUAUGAGGCUCUGAGGCAUCUCAGAGCUUGGAAAGAAUUUCGGUGAAGGAUGGGCUCGCGGCCUAUCAGCUUGUUGGUGAGGUAAAGGCUCACCAAGGCGACGACGGGUAGCCGGCCUGAGAGGGUGACCGGCCACACUGGAACUGAGACACGGUCCAGACUCCUACGGGAGGCAGCAGUGGGGAAUAUUGCACAAUGGGCGCAAGCCUGAUGCAGCAACGCCGCGUGAGGGAUGAAGGCCUUCGGGUUGUAAACCUCUUUUAGCAGGGAAGAAGCGAAAGUGACGGUACCUGCAGAAAAAGCACCGGCUAACUACGUGCCAGCAGCCGCGGUAAUACGUAGGGUGCAAGCGUUGUCCGGAAUUAUUGGGCGUAAAGAGCUCGUAGGCGGUUUGUCGCGUCUGCUGUGAAAACCAGAAGCUCAACUUCUGGCCUGCAGUGGGUACGGGCAAACUAGAGUGCGGUAGGGGAGAACGGAAUUCCUGGUGUAGCGGUGGAAUGCGCAGAUAUCAGGAGGAACACCGAUGGCGAAGGCAGUUCUCUGGGCCGUUACUGACGCUGAGGAGCGAAAGCGUGGGGAGCGAACAGGAUUAGAUACCCUGGUAGUCCACGCCGUAAACGGUGGGUGCUAGCUGUGGGCCACAUUCCACGUGGUCCGUGACGAAGUUAACACAUUAAGCACCCCGCCUGGGGAGUACGGCCGCAAGGCUAAAACUCAAAGGAAUUGACGGGGGCCCGCACAAGCGGCGGAGCAUGCGGAUUAAUUCGAUGCAACGCGAAGAACCUUACCAAGGCUUGACAUAUAGAGGAAAAGUACAGAAAUGUACUCCCCGUAAGGUCUCUAUACAGGUGGUGCAUGGUUGUCGUCAGCUCGUGUCGUGAGAUGUUGGGUUAAGUCCCGCAACGAGCGCAACCCUCGUCCUAUGUUGCCAGCACGUUAUGGUGGGAACUCAUGGGAUACUG